AGAAAUCAUGGGGUGUGGCAAUUGGGGUGAGUUAAUUAAAUGUGUGACCAAAUAGAGCGGGCUAAUUUUUAGUUGAUAAUUUUGCGUGGCCCGUGAAUGAUGUUAUAAAUAUCCAAAUGGCCCUUGGCAGAAAAAAGGUUCCCCACCCCUGCUCUAAUAGAAUGAUGUGCUGGGGGUUCCAGGACUGAAAAGUGGUCAAGUCAGGUCCAGAACCCAGGUUUUGAAAGUCAAUGGGGAGUUUACUCA